rnacentral:lncRNA from 1 species
ACUGAACUACAUCAAAACUAGGACAAGGGAGUAACACUAUAGUAAAGUCUAUAAAAAAAAUUAGGUAACUUCAAAUGUAAUAUUUUUUUAAUUAUUUGGAUUUGCUUCUAUCGUGAAACAAGAUAAGGGAUUACAUAUAAAACAAUAAAACAAUGAAAGAAAGAAUAAAUGAUCUUGUAUUAUUGACAUGGCUCCGAGUUGGAUACUUCGAUACAACAACUGCUUCUGACUCAAUUAGGUUCUGACUAUAUGAUACUUACUAUGUUACUCCAUUUAAGCUCGUCUAGUUCAAUAUUCUGCCUGAGUUGGUGUCUGAGUGAGAAGAAAACGAGCAACCCUACUGCGACCGGCGAAGUUCUUCUCCAUUACCGCUGCUCGACUGGCGGUGCCGAUACUUCCGGUGCCGGGAUUCGGCGUAGGAGUGUGAACGGGAUUAUACAAUGCUGAUAACAAAAGAUUUUUGUUAUUUAUCCCUCUAGCUCUUGUUUCUAAAAGAACCCUAGUGGCUUCUGCAUGUGGUGUGGUGCUAAUUAAUAACAAAAUUAUGGUAGUAGUUAAGAAGAUGGCACUAAUUUGGGGUUUCAUGUUGAUGGUUAAUUAUUGGAAAGAAAAAAAAAUUGAAUCAAGAAAUGUU